rnacentral:rRNA from 1 species
AGUCGAACGAAGUAGCAAUACUUAGUGGCAGACGGGUGAGUAACAUGUGGGUAUCUGCCCUUUGGCCUGGAAUAACACGAGGAAACUUGUGCUAAUACCGGAUAAGUCUUUACGGAGAAAGCUUUAUGCACCAUUGGAUGAGCCCGCACUUGAUUAGUUUGUUGGUGGGGUAAUGGCCUACCAAGACUGUGAUCAAUAGCUGAUUUGAGAGGAUGAUCAGCCACAUUGGGACUGAGACACGGCCCAAACUCCUACGGGAGGCAGCAGUGGGGAAUCUUGCACAAUGGAGGAAACUCUGAUGCAGCGAUGCCGCGUGAGUGAAGAAGGCCUUUGGGUUGUAAAGCUCUUUCGUCGGGGAAGAAAAUGACUGUACCCGAAUAAGAAGGUCCGGCUAACUUCGUGCCAGCAGCCGCGGUAAUACGAAGGGACCUAGCGUAGUUCGGAAUUACUGGGCUUAAAGAGUUCGUAGGUGGUUGAAAAAGUUGGUGGUGAAAUCCCAGAGCUUAACUCUGGAACUGCCAUCAAAACUUUUCAGCUAGAGUAUGAUAGAGGAAAGCAGAAUUUCUAGUGUAGAGGUGAAAUUCGUAGAUAUUAGAAAGAAUACCAAUUGCGAAGGCAGCUUUCUGGAUCAUUACUGACACUGAGGAACGAAAGCAUGGGUAGCGAAGAGGAUUAGAUACCCUCGUAGUCCAUGCCGUAAACGAUGUGUGUUAGACGUUGGAAAUUUAUUUUCAGUGUCGCAGCGAAAGCGAUAAACACACCGCCUGGGGAGUACGACCGCAAGGUUAAAACUCAAAUGAAUUGACGGGGACCCGCACAAGUAGUGGAGCAUGUGGUUUAAUUCGAAGAUACGCGCAGAACCUUACCAACACUUGACAUGUUCGUCGCGACUCUAAGAGAUUAG